UACGUAGGCAGCAAGCGUUGUUCGGAGUUACUGGGCGUAAAGAGUAUGUAGGCGGUUGGGUAAGUUUGGUGUGAAAUCUCCCGGCUUAACUGGAGGUGCGCUAAGACUGCCUGGCUCGAGUGUGGAGAGGAAAGCGGAAUUCCUGGUGUAGCGGUGAAAUGCGUAGAUAUCAGGAGGAACACCUGCGGUGUAGACGGCUUCUGGACCAUAACUGACGCUGAGAUACGAAGCGUGGGUAGCAAACAGG
rnacentral:rRNA from 1 species